UACAGAGGUCCCAAGCGUUGUUCGGAUUCAUUGGGCGUAAAGGGUGCGUAGGUGGCGCCGUAAGUCGGGUGUGAAAUUUCGGAGCUUAACUCCGAAACUGCAUUCGAUACUGCGGUGCUUGAGGACUGGAGAGGAGACUGGAAUUCAUGGUGAGCAGUGAAAUGCGUAGAGAUCAUGAGGAAGACCAGUGGCGAAGGCGGGUCUCUGGACAGUUCCUGACAUGAGGACGAAGGCCAGGGGAGCAAAACGGG
rnacentral:rRNA from 1 species